rnacentral:RNase_P_RNA from 1 species
UGGGGAAAGCGGGCAAUCGCGUUUCUUAUGAAAUGAGGAAAGUCCGAACACCGCAGAACAAGAUGCUUCGUAACACGAAGACAGCGAGCAAUUAAGCAAGUUGAUGGAAAGUGCAACAGAAAGUAUACCGCCUUGGCUUUGGCUUGGGUAAGGGUGAAAUGGUGAGGCAAGAGCUUACCAGUGGAGCAAGUGAUUGUUCCAGCUUGGCAAACCCCAUCUGGUGCAAGAUAAAAUAGGAGUGUAGCUGUCUCGGCAGAUCGGGUUGUUCGCCCGAUUGAAUUUUUUUUCUAUAUACUCGGGUAUAUCGCUUGAGCUAAAUGGCGACAUUUAGCCCAGAUUAAUGAUUGCCUCAAGCUUCGGCUUAAGACAGAAUUCGGCUUAUAGCUUUCUCUAUUUU